UACGUAGGGUGCAAGCGUUGUCCGGAAUUAUUGGGCGUAAAGAGCUCGUAGGCGGUCUGUCGCGUCGGCUGUGAAAACCCGGAGCUCAACUCCGGGCCUGCAGUCGAUACGGGCAGGCUAGAGUUCGGUAGGGGAGACUGGAAUUCCUGGUGUAGCGGUGAAAUGCGCAGAUAUCGGGAGGAACACCCGUAGCGAAGGCGGCACUCUGGGCCGGUACUGACGCUGAGGAGCGAAAGCGUGGGGAGCAAACAGG
rnacentral:rRNA from 1 species